rnacentral:rRNA from 1 species
AUACGAACCGGACAAACGUUAUUCGGAAUUAUUGGGCCUAAAGCAUCCGUAGCCGGCUCUGUAAGUUUUCGGUUAAAUCUGUACGCUUAACGUACAGGCUGCCGGGAAUACUGCAGAACUAGGGAGUGGGAGAGGUAGACGGUACUCGGGAGGAAGUGGUAAAAUGCUUUGAUCUCACGAUGACCACCUGUGGCGAAGGCGGUCUACCAGAACACGUCCGACGGUGAGGGAUGAAAGCUGGGGGAGCAAACCGGAUUAGAAACCCCAGUAGUCC